UGGGGAAUCUUGGACAAUGGGCGCAAGCCUGAUCCAGCCAUGCCGCGUGGAUGAUGAAGGCCUUAGGGUUGUAAAAUCCUUUCGUUGGGGACGAUAAUGACGGUACCCAAAGAAGAAGCUCCGGCUAACUUCGUGCCAGCAGCCGCGGUAAUACGAAGGGGGCUAGCGUUGUUCGGAUUUACUGGGCGUAAAGCGCGUGUAGGCGGGUCGUUAAGUUGGGGGUGAAAUCCCGAGGCUCAACCUCGGAACUGCCUUCAAAACUGGCGACCUGGACUCAAGCAGAGGCAAGUGGAAUUGCGAGUGUAGAGGUGAAAUUCGUAGAUAUUCGCAGGAACACCAGUGGCGAAGGCGACUUGCUGGACUUAUGGUGACGCUGAGACGCGAAAGCGUGGGGAGCAAACAGGAUUAGAUACCCAUGUAGUCCCUGAGCGGGCUGGCAAGGCGCAU
rnacentral:rRNA from 1 species